AGCGGAACGGCUCUAUACAACCAACAGCAUCACCCCUCCCUCUCUAUCUCUCUCUUAACACUCCCCUCGAUGGGAUAGUGAUGAAGAAUAAGGACAAAAGAAGAAAAGAAGUGAUGAUCUUUUCAUCGCCCUUUUUCGUAUCUAAAUCGACGCUGUUUUUUAUUUUUGGAGUCGGGACGGUUGGAAACCAACUAAUAAUUCACGGUUUACCCUUUGAGGCGUCAGAGAUGGACUCGGCAUCCAAAAUCGCAAGAAUUUUACUAGGAGUUGCCCCACCGUUGCGGUGAGGAAGGACUCGGCCAGAGGUUGCCUUUGAGUCGGUAUCUCCUUGGAUACUUGGUUCAUGGAUGGCAGAGAUUGCGGACUGGAGCUCAAGCAUGUAUUCAAAUGCAAGCUUCAUGGCAGAGCCUACUAGUUGUGCAACUUGAUCCAUCGGAGGUAAGAGGCGUUGGUCCACUACAUCCUUCAACAAUAUGUCAUCGGCAGAGGUUGGUGGCGACGAUGAUAGAAAUGAGAUGAAGGCACCGGGAUGAUUUCCCUAGAUCACUUCAACGCUACCACUCAAAACUGGGAACCAUCGCAUUUCUUGUUCACUUCCAUUGUAUAAGCAAACAAAUAGGUUAAUUGAAAGUACUCAUUCUGUUGUUGCAUCGAUGUUCAAAUUCCAUUUUCCUGCAUGUCACUUGUCAAUUCAAGUUCUAAGAAUCCGUUUGUUGGCCGGACUAGUCUGAGUUAUUGAAAUCAGGACGCCGAAUAAGAGAAGGAUAUGGUAGAAGACUAGAGGUAGAGAUUGUUUUAUACUUGGUUUGAUUGGUAGUAGUUUGUAUGGGUGGAUAAAAUUGAGUGGAUGGUGCAAGAAAUGUAUUAUUUACUUG